AAUACGGGCCAUGCCACCUUGGAUCUCCUCUUAUCUCAGAGCUAAGUAGUGUCGGGCCUGGUUAGUACUUGGAUGGGAGUCCACCUGGGAAUACCGGGUGCUUAGGCUU
rfam:Cricetulus griseus cell line CHO-K1, whole genome shotgun sequence.